GUAUGAUUGUGUGCGUUAUUAUACAUAUUGUAAUCUACUUUGUAGGUCAAAGGACAUAACUUGUUUUGUUUGUUUAGGUCAUCCUUGGAUAUGUGAAAAUGGAGUUGCCCCUGACAGAUCAUUGGACCCUGCUGUUCUUUCUCGUCUCAAACAGUUUUCUGCAAUGAAUAAGCUAAAGAAGAUGGCAUUGCGGGUAAUUGCCGAAAGUCUAUCUGAAGAGGAAAUUGCUGGUUUGAGAGAAAUGUUCCAGACUAUGGAUACUGAUAACAGUGGUGCAAUCACUUUUGAUG